AGUGAACGCUGGCGGCGUGCCUAAUACAUGCAAGUCGAACGAAGUGGCGCACGGGUGAGUAAUAUAUAGUUAAUCUGCCCUACACAGAGGAACAACAGUUGCAAACGACUGCUAAUAACUCAUAGUGCAAGAUGAGACUAUAACGUGUCAGCUAGUUGGUAAGGUAAUGGCUUAUCAAGGCUAUGACUCGUAACUGGUCUGAGAGGAUGAUCAGGCACGUUUGAACUGAGACACGGGCCAAACUCCUACGGGAGGCAGCAGUAAGGAAUAUUGCGCAAUGCUGGGAACCCUGACGCAGCAACGCCGCGUGGAGGAUGACACGUUUCGGAGCGUAAACUCCGUUUAUCAGGAAAGCGGUACCUGCUGAAUAAGCACCGGCUAACUCCGUGCCAGCAGCCGCGGUAAUUC
rnacentral:rRNA from 1 species